rnacentral:misc_RNA from 1 species
GAAAUGCGAUAAGUAAUGUGAAUUGCAGAAUUCAGUGAAUCAUCGAAUCUUUGAACGCACCUUGCGCUCCUUGGUAUUCCUUGGAGCAUGCCUGUUUGAGUAUCAUGAAAUCUUCAAAGUAAAUCUUUUGUUAACUCAAUUGGUUUCUACUUUGAUAUUGGAGGUCUUUGCAGCUUCACACCUGCUCCUCUUUGUUCAUUAGCUGGAUCUCAGUGUUAUGCUUGGUUCCACUCGGCGUGAUAAGUUAUCUAUCGCUGAGGACACUGUAAAAGGUGGCCAAGGUAAAUGCAGAUGAACCGCUUCUAAUAGUCCAUUGACUUGGACAAUACUUUUAUGAUCUGAUCACAAAUCAGGUAGGACUACCCGCUGAACUUAAGC